CCCACUAGCGGAAGCGUUUUCUGGCUACAGAGAAUGUGUUAUUCUGGUUCUGUAUCCUCAGUUACUAAGAGUCCAUGCUUGGAUCAUCCUCAUCGAGUAGGCCUUCCCGACUUUCUCAGUUCCCUUGGACACACAACUCCUGCCAAACACAGGCCAAGCCUGCCAGAAGAACAGUUUUUACCUUCAGCAUUGUUUGUCGAGAUGGAGAGGAGCUGUUACAAAAAGAUCAAGGAAACCUGCAGACAUCAGUUCUUUCAGAAAACUGCUUUCACCAUUCAUUGACUUGGAAACUGCCUGAGGAUAAAAACAUUCUCCCAAAUGAUUUUCUCAAGUUGGAAGAAACACAUUCAACUUCAAAAAUAAACAAACAGCAGACAUGGUGA